rnacentral:rRNA from 1 species
UACGUAGGGUGCAAGCGUUGUCCGGAAUUAUUGGGCGUAAAGAGCUCGUAGGCGGUUUGUCGCGUCGAAUGUGAAAACUCGGGGCUCAACUCCGAGCUUGCAUUCGAUACGGGCAGGCUAGAGUUCGGUAGGGGAGACUGGAAUUCCUGGUGUAGCGGUGAAAAUGCGCAGAUAUCAGGAGGAACACCGGUGGCGAAGGCGGGUCUCUGGGCCGAUACUGACGCUGAGGAGCGAAAGCGUGGGGAGCGAACAGG